GCUCCGUGACAAGUAGAUGCAGAAACAGAUGGGUGCUGACUUCUGAUGUACUUAUAAAAAUCUGGAAAAGCUGAUAGAGUUAGUGUUGAGAUGGACCCCAGGAAGUGAUGAUGCCGCAAGCAGUUUGGGUGGGAAAGCAAGGAAUGCUUCUGCCCAUCACUGAAAUUCUGUUUCCCUGACAGCAAAGUCUUUACAGCGACUUUCAACUGCCGGCUGAUCAGGAUCGAGAAGGCAGCCCGUAGAACAGGAGAGAAGGAUGCUUUACAGCUCCGUGGGUUGCUCUGAAGCUGAACUCAACCCGAGAAAAUUAGAGCUGCCCAGCUGCAGGCAGCAAGGUAAGAAACACUGCUUCUUUCGCUUGCCCCAGGCUUUCAGAUUCAUCUGGACUUUCUGCUGAGCUUCACAGUGAGUUAUGCUGCCAGCUGAAUGUGAGCUUUACCUCCUGGUAAGGUCUCUUCUCACUACCUCUGACGGAUGAAUAAUAGCUUAUUGUUUCUGGCAGAUGCUGAACUGAUCCACCACAUUUCAUCUCCUUUUUAUUCCAGGACUAUCUAAUGCACAGAUCACUCACUGGGCUCCCGUCAUCGGAGACAGCGUGCCGAAAUCCUGCACGUUUACACAGACUGCCCUAUCGGACGUUUGGAAACCCCUCACUUGGGACUCAGCACCAUCCUCUCCAGAAUAUUCAGCAAGGGAUAUCCCUGGGAAGAUCAGGUUCAGAGCAAAGCCCCCUGCACGACAGCCCGAAGCACAGCGCUUCUCAGGUACGAGAGUUUCUGGAGAGGCGACAGGACUGCUGAGGGUCCUCCACGAGCAUGCAGGGCGCAGCUCUGACCGUCACAUCCACCUCUGUCGGGACACUCAAGUCUCCAAGCGACUAGCUGGGGCUUUAUGUACCUUGCUAAAGGCACCACUGGUGCUGUACCUGCACACAUCUUCCACAUCUGAGUGUCCUUACCCAGCUGACUAUUAGCAGGGGAAUACAUGGCCUACCUGCAAAAACGAGGAGCUACCAUCAAAGAUUUAAUUAAAAUCAGACAGCGAGAAAAAAAAUACUGCCGAUGCUCCCGCACCAUGAGGUGAAUGCCUCGGAGGUCUCCGGUGCCCACAGAAGAGCACAGCUACCGGCGACUGCCUUCCCCCAGCAAGCCGACAGCGCCUGCUUGGGUGCCUCUCCCAGGCUUGUCACUGGAUACGGAUUCAGGUUUUAAAGAUUUUGAAGGCUGAAGUAUUUACUUUUUUCGCUAGAGAUCAUUUGGUAUACAGAAAGCAUUAAAUAAUAACUACUAUCAUUAAGACACUUAAAUGAACAUUCCAGCUAGCUCUCACCUACGAGUUCUGUAAGACCUGAGCUGAGAGCUCUGAAGGAAAUUCUCAUUUUGGCACCAAAUUUUAGAAUAAAUUGUAACACCCAAACUAGUAUUUCCUGACAAAAACAACGGCGGUCAAUACAUGGCUCCAUCAAUAAAAAAUUAAGGAAAUAAUAUAACGUCCUACCAGCAUGGUUUUAGGCAACAGAUCUUCAUUAAGUAUAGAGCCUCAAAUGACAAAUACGGUAAAGGCUAACUUCAUUGUUGCAAUCUAUCUGAGUUUACCUGGGCAGCUUAUGGCUUUCCAGAUUUAAGCACUGCAAACAUUUAUUACAGAUUGCCUAACUCAUUUUAAAGCAAAUUAAUUUAUGAAGAAUCACCGGGGAACCAAGCAUACUACCGCGGACCAGGUUUCAGCCCAGUCAAAAUUCUCUGGAAAGGAGCAGAAACAAUUUCAUUAUUCACUGGUGGUUUUGGAGGGGCAGCCCUGCGCUCCCACCUGGCAGCCCAAAACGCAUUCAGAGAGCACAGUGCCUCCGGCGCCAUGCAGUCCGUCACUGCUGCCACACAGCACCGCGAUGGACCAUGGCAAUCGCCUUCUUGGUAGUGUGCCUACACAUGCAGACACAUACUGGAAGAGCUGAGGUGCUUGAAAAACAAAACCAAAACACAUCCGACCCAGUACUAGGAGAACCCCACCGCUUCAAGAAUCAGUCAUCGUUUAGAAAGCACGUUCCAUUGAUAAACCUAUUUCAUUAUAGAAAGAAACGGGGAGAUGCAACAUGACCCAUCU